AUUGAACGCUGGCGGCAGGCCUAACACAUGCAAGUCGAGCGGAUGAAGGGAGCUUGCUCCUGGAUUCAGCGGCGGACGGGUGAGUAAUGCCUAGGAAUCUGCCUGGUAGUGGGGGAUAACGUCCGGAAACGGGCGCUAAUACCGCAUACGUCCUGAGGGAGAAAGUGGGGGAUCUUCGGACCUCACGCUAUCAGAUGAGCCUAGGUCGGAUUAGCUAGUUGGUGGGGUAAGGGCCUACCAAGGCGACGAUCCGUAACUGGUCUGAGAGGAUGAUCAGUCACACUGGAACUGAGACACGGUCCAGACUCCUACGGGAGGCAGCAGUGGGGAAUAUUGGACAAUGGGCGAAAGCUUGAUCCAGCCAUGCCGCGUGUGUGAAGAAGGUCUUCGGAUUGUAAAGCACUUUAAGUUGGGAGGAAGGGCAGUAAGUUAAUACCUUGCUGUUUUGACGUUACCAACAGAAUAAGCACCGGCUAACUUCGUG
rnacentral:rRNA from 1 species